AUGCAGCUCAACGAUGCAAUAUUUUUGAACGCUUCUGUAAUUUGUGCGAUUUUUAUAAAUUUUGUCCUGAUACUUUUGAUACUCAAAAAAUCUCCAGCAUCUCUUGGAGCCUAUAAGUACCUCAUGAUGUAUAUCAACAUUUUCGAGCUGACCUAUGCGAUUUUGUAUUUUGCGGAGAAACCGAAGUUCCAAGUACUGCAAUUUUGGCAAUUUUUGACAUUUUUGGCAACUAGCAAUAUCCGCCAUUCGGAAUGCUUUAAAUUUCACGCAGCCAGUAAAUUUUUGGCACUUUUGGAAAAUUCGAAAUACUCUGAUAAUUGGCAAUUUUUUUCGUAAAUACAGAAAAUGAAUAAAUUCGACAAUUUUCAUUUUGGCUAAUAAAAGAAUGAUACGUUUUUUUUUAAGAUUAUGCUCACAAAAGAGUCUGCAUUUUUAAUAAUAAUGAACUGGAGAGCAUCAAUAUUUCCGAAAUAUGUUGCUUGCACUCUAAAUCUGCUUUUCAUUGGCUUCUUCGGUAUGUCAGUUGCUAUUCUGGCCCUUCAUUUCAUUUAUCGAUACCUCAGUAUCACAAAGAGCAAUCUACUGAAAACAUUCGAUUCGUCGAAAAUUGUGCCGUGGUUUAUGAUACCAUUGCUGAACGGAAUAACGUUUAUGUGUACAGCGGGAUUUUUAAUGCGAGCCGACGAGCAAACUGAUAGAUUUAUAAAUGAAAACUAUCCACCGCUUGUCAAAAACCUCUCAACUAUCAAUGAUCUCUACUAUGUGGGCCCAUUGUUCUGGCCCAAGUACGCCAACUCAACAACCGACCACUUUUUCAGUUGGAAGGCUGCAAGGUUAUGCCUGAUUGCGAUGGGCUUAAUUGGAUUUUCCACUUCAAUAAUGGUGUUCUUCGGUCUGAAAGCAUAUUUGGUAAUGAAAAACUUGAUGUCACAGUCAACUUCUUGUGACAAGUUCAAAAGCAUUCAGCAGCAAUUACUACUUGCUCUAAUUCUGCAAACUUCGAUUCCAGUCCUCUUGAUGCAUAUUUCUGCAACCGCGAUUUACCUGACAAUAUUUUUGGGAAAUUCUAACGAGAUUAUAGGAGAAACCAUUGGAUUGACAAUUGCAUUGUAUCCCGCUCUGAAUCCAAUUCCAACAAUUUUGAUCGUCAAAAAUUAUCGGACUGUGUUGAUCAAUAUACUGGCUUAUGUCAAACGUCGAGUAUUCCGACAAACUGCGGUGACUCCACUUGUGUUGGCGGAUGUAACAACAAUCGCUAUGCAAAAUUUGGCCCCGAACUAG